rnacentral:rRNA from 1 species
CGGCGUGGAUUAGGCAUGCAAGUCGAACGGUAUAAACCUUCGGGGUUUAGAGAGUGGCGAACGGGUGAGUAACACGUAGGUAAUCUACCCUCAAAACGGGGACAACCCAGGGAAACUUGGGCUAAUACCGGAUGCGUGCAAACAAUGUUUUGGCUGUUGUAAUUAUUCACGGAAGUGGAUAGUUAUGAGAGUUUCAGAGCAUAAUUUGCAUAAAAGGUGGCGUAAGCUGCCGUUUGAGGAUGAGCCUGCGUCCUAUUAGUUAGUUGGUGAGGUAAUGGCUUACCAAGGCGAUGAUAGGUAGGCGGCCUUAACGGGUGGUCGCCCACACUGGGAUUGAGAUACGGCCCAGACUCCUACGGGAGGCAGCAGUCGAGAAUAGUCUACAAUGGACGAAAGUCUGAUAGUGCGACGCCGCGUGAACGAAGAAUCCUUUCGGGGUGUAAAGUUCUUUUCUAUGUGAGCAGUUCCUUUUAUAUGAAGAGUAUAGAAGGUGGGAUUUAAGCAUAGGAAUAAGCAACGGCUAACUCCGUG